rfam:Triticum aestivum genome assembly, contig: Triticum_aestivum_CS42_TGACv1_scaffold_622235_7DS
GGAGUACUCCCUCCGUCCGGAAAUACUUGUCACAGAAAUGGAUGAAUCUAGAUGUAUUUCAAUUAUAGAUACAUUCAAUUUUAUCCAUUUCUCCGACAAGUAUUUUGGGACGGAGGGAGUAUUAC